GACGGAGGGUGCAAGCGUUGCUCGGAAUCACUGGGCGUAAAGGGUGCGUAGGCGGUCUUGCAAGUCGGAUGUGAAAUCCCACGGCUCAACCGUGGACGUGCAUCCGAAACUGCUCGGCUCGAGUAUGGAAGAGGGUCGCGGAAUUCCCGGUGUAGAGGUGAAAUUCGUAGAUAUCGAGAGGAACACCGGUGGCGAAGGCGGCGAUCUGGACGAUGACUGACGCUGAGACGCGAAAGCGUGGGGAGCAAACAGG
rnacentral:rRNA from 1 species